rnacentral:rRNA from 1 species
CCUACGGGAGUCUGCAGUGAGGAAUAUUGGUCAAUGGGCGCAAGCCUGAACCAGCCAAGUCGCGUGAGGGAUGACGGUCCUAUGGAUUGUACACCUCUUUUGUCGGGGAGCAAGGCCCGCCACGUGUGGCGGGAAGGAGAGUACCCGUAGCAAAAGCCUCGGCUAACUCCGUGCCAGCAGCCGCGGUAAUACGGAGGAUGCGAGCGUUCUCCGGAUUUACUGGGUGUAACGGGCGCGUAGGCGGGAUAGCAAGUCAGUCGUGAAAUGCCGAGGCUUAACCUCGGGGCUGCGCUUGAAACUGUUAUUCUUGAGUAUCGGAGAGGAAAGCGGAAUUCCUGGUGUAGCGGUGAAAUGCGUAGAUAUUAGGAGGAACACCAGUGGCGAAGGCGGCUUUCUGGACGACAACUGACGCUGAGGCGCGAAAGUGUGGGGAGCAAACAGGAUUAGAGACCCUGGUAGUC